rnacentral:rRNA from 1 species
GACGAACGCUGGCGGCGUGCUUAACACAUGCAAGUCGAACGGAAAGGCCUCUUUCGGGGGGUACUCGCGUGGGGAAAGGGUGAGUAAAACGUGAGUAAACUCCCCUUUACUCUGGGAUAAAUUCUGGAAACACGGGCGAAUACAGGAUAGGAGCUCCUCUUCUACGGUGGGGGUUGGAGAGUUUUGGGGCUUGGGGGUGGGCUCGCGGCGUUUAUGCGUGUUGGUGUGGUAUUGGCUCACCAAGGCUUUGACGGGGUGCCGGGCUGGGAGGGGGAACGGCCCAAUUGGGACUGAGAUACGGCCCAGACUCCUACGGGAGGGAAGAGUGGGGAAUAUUUCACAAUGGGGCGGAGCCUGGUUCAGGAACGCCGUGUGCGGGAUGACCGGCUUCGGGUUGGAAACCGGUUUCGCCCUUUACGAAGCUUUGUGUGACGGUAGUGGGUAAAGAAGCACCGGCUAACUACGUG